rnacentral:rRNA from 1 species
AUUGAACGCUGGCGGCAGGCCUAACACAUGCAAGUCGAACGGUAACAGGAAGCAGCUUGCUGCUUCGCUGACGAGUGGCGGACGGGUGAGUAAUGUCUGGGAAACUGCCUGAUGGAGGGGGAUAACUACUGGAAACGGUAGCUAAUACCGCAUAACGUCGCAAGACCAAAGAGGGGGACCUUAGGGCAUCUUGCCAUCGUAUGUGUCCAGAUGGGAUUAGCUAGUAGGUGGGGUAACGGCUCACCUAGGCGACGAUCCCUAGCUGGUCUGAGAGGAUGACCAGCCACACUGGAACUGAGACACGGUCCAGACUCCUACGGGAGGCAGCAGUGGGGAAUAUUGCACAAUGGGCGCAAGCCUGAUGCAGCCAUGCCGCGUGUAUGAAGAAGGCCUUCGGGUUGUAAAGUACUUUCAGCGGGGAGGAAGGGAGUAAAGUUAAUACCUUUGCUCAUUGACGUUACCCGCAGAAGAAGCACCGGCUAACUCCGUG